GGCACAGUGGCUCAGUGGUUAGCACACUUGCCUCACACCUCCGCGAUUGGGGGGUUCAAUUCCUGCCUUUGCCC